UACGUAGGGUGCAAGCGUUAAUCGGAAUUACUGGGCGUAAAGCGCACGUAGGCGGAUAUGUCAGUCAGGGGUGAAAUCCCGGGGCUCAACCUCGGAACUGCCUUUGAUACAGCAUAUCUUGAGUCCGAUAGAGGUGGGUGGAAUUCCUAGUGUAGAGGUGAAAUUCGUAGAUAUUAGGAAGAACACCGGUGGCGAAGGCGGCCCACUGGAUCGGUACUGACGCUGAGGUGCGAAAGCGUGGGGAGCA
rnacentral:rRNA from 1 species